UCACCAUUUUUUCAUUAAAAAACCACGUUGUGUAUAACACAGAGAAAACCUUUAAAUUAUCAUGAUACAAAAAAAAAAUAUAUGCCAAAUAAUGCGAGUAUUAUUAACCGUUUUGCGAAACUUGAAAUUAGGGGAAAAUGAGUAUGAUAAAUUUAUGUUCAGAAUGAAACAUUGGUUUUAAUAUAACAUUUUUUUUGUUUUCGUUGUCUCUAAAAAACAUUUCAUCUACUAGAUAUCUUGCUCUAAUAUAAAUCUUUAUGCAAGCUU